AUGAUGGACUAUAGGACAGGACUGCUGCUUCUAACUGUCUGCUGGGCAGGUGUUGAUGGUCAGACUCUGACAGAAUCUGAACCAGCAGUUAAAAGUCCUGGAGGAUCUCACAGAUUGACCUGUACAACCUCUGGAUUCACAUUCAGCAGCUACCCUAUGAGCUGGAUCAGACAGGCUCCUGGAAAAGGACUGGAGUGGAUCGCUUAUAUAGGUACAGCUAGUACACCGAUUUAUUACUCCCAGUCAGUCCAGGGUAGAUUCACCAUCUCCAGAGAUGACUCCAGCAGUAAACUCUAUCUGCAGAUGAACAGUCUGAAGACCGAGGACACAGCAGUGUAUUACUGUGCCCGAAGAGACACAGUGAAAAAUAGUGUUGAUGGUCAGACUCUGACAGAAUCUGAACCAGCAGUUAAAAGUCCUGGAGGAUCUCACAGAUUGACCUGUACAACCUCUGGAUUCACAUUCAGCAGCUACCCUAUGAACUGGGUCAGACAGGCUCCUGGAAAAGGACUGGACUGGAUCGCUUAUAUCAGCAGUGGUGGUGGCAGCAGCCAGUACUACUCUCAGUUGUACAGGUCAGAGCAUGGAGUCCAUUCCUUCCAGUUCAGUGGUGAAAAAGCCCGGGGAGACUCUCAGUCUCUCCUGCAGGGGAUCUGGCUUCACAUUUAG